rnacentral:rRNA from 1 species
UACGAAGGGGGCUAGCGUUGCUCGGAAUGACUGGGCGUAAAGGGCGCGUAGGCGGUUUGUACAGUCAGACGUGAAAUUCCCGGGCUCAACCUGGGGACUGCGUUUGAGACGUACAAGCUUGAGUAUGGAAGAGGGUCGUGGAAUUUCCAGUGUAGAGGUGAAAUUCGUAGAUAUUGGAAAGAACACCGGUGGCGAAGGCGGCGACCUGGUCCAUUACUGACGCUGAGGCGCGAAAGUGUGGGGAGCAAACAGG